UACGUAGGGUGCGAGCGUUAAUCGGAAUUACUGGGCGUAAAGCGUGCGCAGGCGGUUGUGCAAGACAGAUGUGAAAUCCCCGGGCUUAACCUGGGAACUGCAUUUGUGACUGCACAGCUAGAGUACGGCAGAGGGGGAUGGAAUUCCGCGUGUAGCAGUGAAAUGCGUAGAUAUGCGGAGGAACACCGAUGGCGAAGGCAGUCCCCUGGGCCUGUACUGACGCUCAUGCACGAAAGCCAGGGGAGCAAACGGG
rnacentral:rRNA from 1 species